CCAUGUCAUAGUCGGCAGUUCAGCUUGGAGCCCUCUUGGAUCGGCUCUCCCUCACUUGGCUGCUCUGACCUAAUCCCCUCUUUCUCUGGUCGCUGUCUUUCUCUUCGAUUUCUUCUUCUCCGACGACCACUUCACUGAGCUCGUGGUUUUUCUUCAGGUCUUCUAUUAUUCCAGCCAGUUCUACCCGCCUCGUAUCAUGGUAUCCCUCUCGAAAACCACCUUGUCCUCAAGGUGUAUUGAGGGAAAAGACUUGUGCAGAACUGUAACAUCUUCCCACGAGGAAUCUUCAACUGGUUCUCCGUCCUACUGGACCAGAGCUUGCUGAAAUCGCACUCUCUUCCGGUAGACAAUCCUAUAAUCUAUAAUAGCUAGAGGAAUCAAAAUAGGGUUAUUUUUUACCGCUAUUAAAGGUGUCAAAUCUUUAUCUUCAGGUGGGCUGCCAAUGAAUUUCUUCAGCAAGGAUAUAUGAAAUGUGUUAUGGAUUCGACUUCCCGGAGGCAGAGAUAAUCUGUAAGCAACCCUGCUGAUAUUUUUUUUUAUUUUGUAGGGACCAAAAUAUUUCUUAUUUAGUUUGUUAUGUAGUCAAACUGCAACUGAUGAUUGUCUGUAGCGCUUUAGCCUGACCAACACCCAAUCAUCCACAUUAAACUGUAUUUCCUGUCUAUGUUUAUCAGCAUUUGACUUCAUCCUUUUUUGGGCUUUGAUUAAAUUGUUUUUCAUUGUCUCCAAAGCAUACUCCCUAUCACUUAAUUCUCUGUCCACAGCAUCAAUAGAAGAACUACCUUCGAUAUAGUUUGGUAAAAUAAGAGCUUCCUUUCCAUAUAAUAUUUAGAAUGAUGUUUGCCCGAUAGAGGAGUUGUAAUUGGUAUUGAACCAAAACUCUGCUCAAGUAAGAAGAGAAAGCCAUUUUUUUGGAUCCUCGUGGGCUAGAGAUCUUAAAUACAUCUCGAUGCUUCUAUUAACAACCUCAGUUUGGCCAUCACUCUGAGGGUGGUAAGCAGUAGAAAAAUUCAGAGUUGUCCCACUAAGCUUAUUUAACUCUUGGGUGAUAGUAAACAUUUCUUUGAUAUAUAUAGAUGCUGAAGCCAUUCUUCCCCCUAUUUUUUUACUAUAGAAGGCUAUAGGGUGCUCCUCUUGUUGAAAAACUACACCAAUUCCUGUAUUACAAGCAUCAGUUUUCACAAUAAAUUUUUUAUCAAAAUCUGGAAAUUUAAGCACUGGAACCUUAGACAUGACCUCCUUUAACCUGUCAAAGCUAUUGGUAGCUAACUCAGAUCAGGAGAAGGAAUCCUUCUUUAAUAAAUCUGUCAUGGAUGAAGCAAUUUGAGCUUACCCUUUGAUGAAUUUUCUGUAGUAACCUGUAAAUCCUAAGAAUCCUCAUAAUUGCUUCAAAUUUUUAGGUGCAGGCCACUCUAACAUGGCUGAAAUCAUUGCUGGAUCAGGAUUUACCCCAUCUUUGCUAAUAAUGUGGCCCAAAAAUCCCAUAGUUUCUUGGCCAAAACAACAUUUGGAUUUCUUAACUAACAAUUGGUUUUAUUUCAUUAGAUCAAAAAUAAGCUCUAGAUGUUUAACAUGAUCUGAAAUAGAAGUACUAUACACCAGAAUAUCGUCAAAAAAAAUGAUCACAAACUUCCUUAAAUACCUCUGAAAAACCCUGUUCAUGGCUGCUUGGAAUGUGGCUGGGGCAUUUGUAAGCCCAAAUGGCAUUACCAAGAACUCAUAGUGUCCCUGAUGUGUCCUAAAGGUUGUUUUUUCAGUAUCAUUGGGAUUUAUUCUUAUCUGGUGAAAACCUGAUCUUAAAUCUAACUUUGAGAAGAUGACAGCAUCCUUCAACUCUCCCAAUAAUUCUUCUGUAGGGAUUGAAAAUUUGUCUUUCAUAGUGAUUGCAUUCAAGGCUCUGUAGUCUACACAAAGUCUAUAACCCCCAUCUUUCUUUUUGACCAACAACACAGGAGAUGAGUAAGGACUAGUACUAGGUUUCACAGUUCCUUGAUUUAAUAAUUCUUUAACUAGCUUUUCAAUCUCCCCUUUUUGAAAUUGGGGAAAUCUAUAUGGCCUUACAUUUACAGGAUUGGAAUUAGGUUAUAAAUGUAUAAAGUGAUCAAUAGCUCUUUGUGGUGGUAAUCCUUUGGGUUCUUCAAAUAUUUCAAAGAAAACUUCUACUACCUGAUUUACAACUGUCAAUUCUGAAAUUGAUAAACUGUUUAUACUUGGUUCUUCAAUAUAUUUAAAAUAACAUAAGUAUGCUUCAGAAAUAGAGGCAUGUAAUGACUUUAGUUGCCCACUUGUAAGUGGUUCACUAUUUAGCCAAGAAAUCCCUCUCCAUAUUACUAUUUUUCCUUCCCAUUCAAAUUUCAUACAAAGCUCCUUAUAAUUAGAGAUCACAUCCCCCAACUCUUUGAGCCAUUGGGUGUCAUUGACUAUGUUAGACCUGUCAUAGGUAAUAGAAACAGAUCAAUAGAAAUUACUACUCCUUGGAUCUUGAUCUGAACUUGUUUGCAAACUUUAUCACAUAGUGACUUCUCCCCACUGCCUGUGGAAACUCUGAAUGGAUUAAUUGCUUGUACCACCAUGUGAAGUCUUGUAGCCACAUCCACUUGCAUGAAAUUGUGAGUGGACCCUGGAUCUACCAGUACGCUUACACUUUGGCUUUUUAUGAAGUCUUCAAGCAUAAUAGUUCUGACCCCUAUUUUACUUUGGUAAGCCUGUAAACUGAUUUCAGUAUCAGCUUCCCCUUCCACAAUAAUUUGUUCCUCCUCUUCAUGUGUGCAUUCAAUCUCAACUUCCUCCCCUUCUAAUUCCCAUAAUGUGUUGUCUUCUACCGAAAAUCUGAAUAACUUGCCUUUACAUUUGUGAUCUGGGGUAAAGCUUUCUUCACAAUUGAAACAAAAACCCUUGACAGUCCUUUCCCUUCUCUCAGCAGGAGAUAGUCUUUUAAAAACAGGGGCAUUUGGGGUUGUUUUAUUUGCUGCAAAAGGCUGAUUAGUGAUUGCAAUGUUGCUGCCAUAAUUCAUAUUUCCAGAAGUUUUGCCAAUAAAAGAUCUUCCUGGAUUUGGUCUAUACCCACCAGAUUUGUAGCCCACAGAACCUUGGUUUUCCAGAUGUACAGCCAAUUCCAUAGCCUCUUGAAUGUCUGUAAGCUUGGCCUUAACUACCUCUGUUAAAUAUUCAUCAUUUAAACCCGAAAUAAACAUUUCUAACAGUAGCCAAUCAGGAAUACCAACCACUUUUGAAGAAUAGUUUUCAAACCUUGUCACAAAUUCAGCAACUGUAGUUAUCUGAGAAAUCUUGCUUAAUCUGCCACCAGGAAUUGUGUAAGUGGUGGGGUUGAAUUUUUUUAGCAAUGAUUUGACGAAUGCCGGCCAAGUGGUUAAAUAGUUGCUAGACUCCAUUCACAAAAACCAUUUCAGAGCAACAUCGACCAUGUUGAAUGAUGAUAUAAUGAGUUUCUGAUCUUCAGGGGUGUUAUGAAAAAUGAAAAAUGAAAAAUCUUCAGGGAUGGAUUUGUGAAUGGUCGGCGGUUAUGGAGUGGAGAGGAAGAAAUGAAUCUGGGGAAAUUUUAAUUUUAUUUCGAUAAAUAAAAUAUCUACAAAUGGGCCCUUUGUAGGGGUAGUUACUUAAGGUGCAUAAUAUAAAUUAACCAAUUAAAACUAUACAAACAAAUAACACAAUUAAUCUAAACUUAAGGAUCUAUCUGCAAAUUAACCCUUAACUAAAUUACCUGCCCAUGUCAUAGUCGGCAGUUCAGUUUGGAGCCCUCUUGGAUCGGCUCUCCUUCACUUGGCUGCUCUGACCUAAUCCCCUAGCCUCUUUCUCUUCGAUUUCUUCUUCUCCGACAACCACUUUACUGAGCUCGGUUUUUCUUCAGGUCUUCUAUUAUUCCAGCCAGUUCUACCCGCCUCGUAUCAAAAGGUUAAAAAGAGUGAUGGAUUAAACACUGGCAACCAAACCAUCGGCUUGGGACACCGCACUUGCAAAAAGAAUAAAUGUAAGUUUUUUGUUUUAUUUGUAAUCGAAAUUUAAAACUAUAUCAUUUAAUUCAGAGGAAGUCGUCGCUGUGAGCCGUUCCAUCUUGCCGUUAAUAAAUAAGCUUGUCGUUCCAUCUUCGUUUUAACGUCAUUCCAUCUUGCCGUUAAUAAAUAAGCUUGUCGUUCCAUCUUCGUUUUAACGUCAUUCCAUCUUCUUCCGGCCUUUCCUCUACGUAAUCCUAAUACUUCAACGAUGGUUCGGGUUUGACACAUCUAGUUGCCCGGUGCUCGGAGGUAGUCGUCGUCGUGACUCGUGAGCCUAGAGUUGUCCUCAAGACUCCGACGAUGACUACACCCCACCACAGGCAAGUCGCCAUCGGUUGAACCCUCCAACCCCACCGUCUUCAUUCGAGCAGAUGUCAUCAAUUUAGACAUUCUGUAAAUCGUCGGCGUGCCGAUGUCUCCGGUCUACAUCAAGGAAUAACUAUUCGUCUCCCGACCAGUGACGUCGAUCGAUCGAUCGAUCGAUCGAUCAUCUUUUUUAUUUAGUUGACGUAGUCGUAUAAAUUGGCAUGCAUAUAUAGAUCUAGAAUUGUAAUCGAUCUAUCUUUAAAGAAAUUGCAGGAAUGUACGUAAUAAUUAUGAGUUGAAAGCAGGUGUUUUUGGAUAAUUUAGUUGAAACGUAGAAAAAGAGAAGGUAGCAUGCAGGUAAAUUAUUGCAAGGUAGUUAAUUUAUUGAGCUAGUGCACCGACAGGAAUGCAGAUCUGCUCCGGUGACUAGAAUUGACACAAAGUAAACUCAAACAACACAUGACGGACCGAUAAGACAUAAAGACAGCAAGUGAAAGCAAAUUGCGCGCGCGCGUAAAUUAAAGUGAGUACGUGGAGCCAUACGUGGAGAUUAGUUGAUGAUGGGUCCCACUUCCUUACCGGUCUUGGAGUGAUGGGGAUCGAAACAAGACAGUUGACCUUGCAUUGCAGCAACCGUCUUCCAGGACUUUCUUGAGGAAAUAUCUUUCCACCACCUGCUCACAUUCCUUCUCUGCUCGAACAUCUCAAACCCCACCUCCGUGUUCACGAGAUAAUGGGAGUUUGGCAGGUGUGAGAGAUCUGCUAGAGUGAAGUCAUCACCUGCAAGGAACCUUGACUCCUCCAGUUUUUCAUCGUAGAUAUUCAGUAGCCUUGCCAGUUUCUUCUUACACGACUCCACAACCGACGGGUCAACAUGCAGUCCAAGGAGUGGAGCGAAUGCCAGUUGGGUGAUUAGCUCCGAACUUGGUGGUUCAAAGCUCUGUUCUUCUGCUUGUAGCCAUUGUUCUAUCGACGCUCUCUCCAGUGUUCCGGACCCUAAAAGCUUGCUGUUCCCUGUCGAUGCGAAUUUCUCCGAUACAUGCCUGCAUAUUUUCCUCGAUUCUGCAAAAAAUCACAUUAAUUAUUUAUCACAUAAAUUACAUACCCUUGUAUGUAUGUACGUACGUACCUAAGAGUGUCUUCUUCCCUUCCUUGUAGGUCACUUGGCCACAGGGGUCCUGCAGCUUGAUGAAUUCAGCAACAUUGUAAUCUCCUUUGUAGGUAUCCAUACGAAUGAGUUGGAAAUCCAAGUCUUUUUCCAUCAGGCAGGUCAGGACUCUUGCCACCUCGGUGGAAGCCGGUGACCCAAAAAUCUUAAUGCCGCCCAUUUCUACGAAUCACUUGAUUUCAGUUUCGAAUCACUCGAUUCUAGCUUGAACGUUUGUUUAAUUAAUUUGGUCGCUAUUUAUCAUAAACUUGGACUUUAAAUUCUCUUCUAAACAACAAACAAAGAUAAAGAUAAAGAUGAAGAGAGAAUUGAUGCUUGCUUGUUUCCUCGGUAACAUUAACAUUUAUUUGUUAAAGCAGGAUUCAUCAACAAGAUUAUCAGCUUUGUUUCAGAAUUAAUCUACUCAACUCUAAAUUAAACAUAUGUGCUUGGGUUAUCGAGUUUCCGUGCUUCAAAUUGCCAGAGAACGUGGCGCUUGUUUACUCGACAAUCGCUUUCGCACCUUUUAUUUAUUAUUAUUUUUAAUUCCUUGGUAAAAUCCAAGACCACGACUCCACGAGUG
rnacentral:lncRNA from 1 species